GACGAACGCUGGCGGCGUGCCUAAUACAUGCAAGUAGAACGCUGAAGAGAGGAGCUUGCUCUUCUUGGAUGAGUUGCGAACGGGUGAGUAACGCGUAGGUAACCUGCCUUGUAGCGGGGGAUAACUAUUGGAAACGAUAGCUAAUACCGCAUAACAAUGGAUGACACAUGUCAUUUAUUUGAAAGGGGCAAUUGCUCCACUACAAGAUGGACCUGCGUUGUAUUAGCUAGUAGGUGAGGUAAUGGCUCACCUAGGCGACGAUACAUAGCCGACCUGAGAGGGUGAUCGGCCACACUGGGACUGAGACACGGUCCAGACUCCUACGGGAGGCAGCAGUAGGGAAUCUUCGGCAAUGGGGGCAACCCUGACCGAGCAACGCCGCGUGAGUGAAGAAGGUUUUCGGAUCGUAAAGCUCUGUUGUAAGUCAAGAACGGGUGUGAGAGUGGAAAGUUCACACUGUGACGGUAGCUUACCAGAAAGAGACGGCUAACUACGUG
rnacentral:rRNA from 1 species